rnacentral:rRNA from 1 species
ACUCAAAUGAAUAGACGGGGACCCGCACAAGCGGUGGAUGAUGUGGAUUAAUUCGAUGCAACGCGAAAAACCUUACCUACCCUUGACAUGGUUCGAAUUGACCAGAGAUGGUUGAGUGCUCGCAAGAGAACGGACACACAGGUGCUGCAUGGCUGUCGUCAGCUCGUGUCGUGAGAUGUUGGGUUAAGUCCCGCAACGAGCGCAACCCUUGUCAUUAAUUGCCAUCAUUUAGUUGGGCACUUUAAUGAGACUGCCGGUGACAAACCGGAGGAAGGUGGGGAUGAGGUCAAGUCCUCAUGGCCCUUAUGGGUAGGGCUUCACACGUCAUACAAUGGUACAUACAGAGGGUAGCGAACCUGCGAAGGGGAGCCAAUCCCACAAAGUGUAUCGUAGUCCGGAUUGGAGUCUGCAACUCGACUCCAUGAAGUUGGAAUCGCUAGUAAUCGCGGAUCAGCAUGUCGCGGUGAAUACGUUCCCGGGUCUUGCACACACCGCCCGU